GAUGAACGCUAGCGGCAGGCUUAACACAUGCAAGUCGAGGGGUAACAGGUUUUAGUUUACUAGAAUGCUGACGACCGGCGCACGGGUGAGUAACGCGUAUACAAUUUACCUUUUACAGGAGAAUAGCCCAGAGAAAUUUGGAUUAAUGCUCCAUGGUAUUAUUUGAUCACCUGAUCGAGUAAUUAAAGCUUCGGCGGUAAAAGAUGAGUAUGCGUCCUAUUAGCUAGAUGGUAAGGUAACGGCUUACCAUGGCGACGAUAGGUAGGGGUCCUGAGAGGGAGAUCCCCCACACUGGUACUGAGACACGGACCAGACUCCUACGGGAGGCAGCAGUGAGGAAUAUUGGGCAAUGGAGGCAACUCUGACCCAGCCAUGCCGCGUGCAGGAAGACGGCCCUAUGGGUUGUAAACUGCUUUUAUAUAGGAAGAAACUUAUCCACGUGUGGAUAACUGACGGUACUAUAAGAAUAAGCACCGGCUAACUCCGUGCCAGCAGCCGCGGUAAUACGGAGGGUGCAAGCGUUAUCCGGAAUCAUUGGGUUUAAAGGGUCCGUAGGCGGGCAAUUAAGUCAGAGGUGAAAUCCACAGCUCAACUGUGGAACUGCCUUUGAUACUGGUUGUCUUGAGUUAUAGUGAAGUAGAUAGAAUAUGUAGUGUAGCGGUGAAAUGCUUAGAGAUUACAUAGAAUACCGAUUGCGAAGGCAGUCUACUAACUAUAUACUGACGCUAAUGGACGAAAGCGUGGGGAGCGAACAGG
rnacentral:rRNA from 1 species